GGUACAGACCGGGGGGUGACGGACACGUACGGUUCUGGGUUCUUCUCCCCCACUAGUCUACCUCCGCCGCCCAGCCGCACCACACGACGCUCCCCAUCGCCCCCGCCGCACACGCCGCCUUGAUCCCUCCUCCCCCCAGGCCCAUGCCGGAGCCGCCUCCUUCCCCCAUGUUGUGCCGCCGCCGCCUGGUUCCAGAUCUGAAGGUUGGAUUUUGCGCGGUGGACCAACGGCGCGUCCAUCCCCAAGGGCCCCUGGCCAUGGCAGUCGUCGUUCAUGUCCACCUCCACUACCAUUACCCCCCUCCUCUGCCCGUCGCCUCGCCAACCCGGCCUCUUAACCUCGCCAUGGCGCUCCCCCCACCCCCGCGCUCCUGACUACCCACCUGCGCCCCCCCUCCCCGCCUACACCUGCCACCUCGCCGUCACCAGCACAGAUGAGCGGGAGGCAGAUGAGGAGUUUGUGGUGGUCACAUACAAUCUGGUGCCCGUCGACGACCCCCGCGCACCACUCCACUUCCUGCAGAACAAUCACUUAUUCAGGUACUUGGAUGCUUGGAUGCUUUUCAGGCUUCUCCGGCAUUAACCGGGCAUGCUCUCCAGUACGAACAAUCACUUAUUCAGAUCAUACACUGACACUCUUGACUGUACAACAAUAAUCUGCGGCACGGGCAGCCGAAGCGGACGAAGUGGCUGGUCCUGCGAGUGGCGGUGGUGGUCGCCUACGUGGCGCAGGCGGGCGGCGGGUGUCGCCCCCGUGGCAGCAGCGCAGGUGGGCGGUGGCGUUGGGCCCGACGGUGGAUGCGUUGGUCGCUCCUGUGGGUGACGGUGGUCGAGCUGCGCAGGUGGCCGGAGGUGGUCGCCUCCGUGGCGGCGAUGCAGGUGGGCGGCGGCGUUGGACCCGAUGGUGGCUCACGCGGGCGGCGGUGUUGGACGAUUUUUUUUUGUUGUUGCAAAAAUCACAAUGAACUACGUCUGCGACAAGCUUUUCUUUAGUUUUUAUGUCUUGACUCAUACUCGUAUCAUGUUUUUAAUUUAUUUAGUUGAACGAGAAACCGAAUCAGUAUUUCUAUCUAUUAUCCUUUAUUGCAUUCACCUGACAUGUGGGGAUGGCUGACGCAGGGGCGUCCAAACAAACUAGCUGUACCACGUGACCAGGUACAGGUCUAGAGUACAAGUGCGUCAGAGCCCUUAACAGAGCCAACGUCCGUCCGCUCCCCCGUCAGGAAUCGUCUGUACGUACGCCGUGCGCCUGCACUGUAUAAAUCUUUUUCAAUUCCUGUAUUUCUCCGACAGUGACCUGCAGCACAGAUCUGAAUGCUUGUCUGGGC